UUUGCAAAGUACAGCUUCACUGCUUCGCACUUGGCUUCACGGCUUCACACUCAAAAAAAUCAGGACUCUAGCUCCAGUAAAAGAGUGAACAUAAAGGAAAAAAAUUAGGCCUUGAGCUCCUGAAAAAGAGUGAACAUAAAGGAAAAACAGUAAGAAAACUAUACAGGAAAACAAGUAGUGUAUUGAGCAUAUAUAUGUUGUCCAUAUAUGUUGUCCCUGGAAGGCGAACACAUACAAUAGCAAGAACAACAGGAAAAUUAUACAUGAAUAGAGCAUGGAAGCGGAUUAACUAUAUGCAACCAAAAACUAAAUCAUUGCAGAUCAGAUUACAUAGGAACAGAAUGUAGAAGCAAAUCAUAUGGAAGCAAAACCAAAUCAUUAGGGAGCACAUAAUAAUACAUGAAGAGAAAGAAGCAACUAUGUAACAACGAACAUGUUCAUCUUCAAUUGGUGUCUCAUUCUAAAUAUUCAUGCACAUUUGGUUGUGGGCAUUCAGGUAAAAAACUUAAACCAAUCUAAUUCAGAUGCAUAUGUCACAUUUCAUUGGUUACAUUACUCUUCACAUACUAGAUGGCGAGAGCCUGAAUAUGCACUACUCAGCCAUUCCAUACUUUCAUGAUAUAGUUCGCUACUCAGCCAUUCAAACACAUGCAUCAAUACUUCUUAUAAACAGGCACUGUGCAUAGAUAAAAUUCAUUGCCAUAGUAACAGGCACUGUGCAUGAUUCAGAAGGGAGGUUCGUAGAAUAAAAUAGUUACACAUAGCAAGAUCUCAAAAGCAUUGCCACUGGAUCUCAAUUGAUCUCACAUUCUGAAACAGAUCAGAUAGUUCUCUAAAGCAUUGCCAUGGGAUCUCUGUAAUUCUAAAGAAAUUGAGAGUGGAGCAAAGCUCUAGAUAGUAGUGUCCCACAGAAAUGAAACUUUGUAAUGCUCAAGUUUCAGCUAUUAGGGAUUACAGAAUUUUAGAUGUGACAAAUUCUUCUAGUUGCACUUAUCACAGAUAGAAGAGUUUAUAGUGAAGAAUCCUUUUCAAUCAAAGACACAGCCUGGAACAUAUCAAUUUCGAGGUGCAGGUUGUAUACAAUCAGACAUCUUAGGUUGUAUACUACUCAUGAUAACUCUGCUCAUCCACGGAGUUAAGGGAUGCAACUUGCCAAUAGCAUUUGAGGGGCAGAAGCUAAUCCACAAUGGCAAUAGAAAUAACAUUCAGAGCAUCAUCAUCGAUUUCACAAGAGCAAGCAUGAUAUUGCAUCCCAUGAGGCGUGGAGGAGGAUCUCUUACCAUGACCAUACCAGCACCUCAUCUUCACCUUGUGAUCCUCACCGUUUCUGCCAAGACACAGUCGCAUGAACAACAUUCAGCACAUUAUCUACACAAAGAAGAGACAAAUCGUAUGCUUAUCCAAGCGAGUUGAAGGUAGUACCCAGCACUAGAGUGAUUACAUUAUCCGUCGGCUUUUCCGUGAACAACCUCACUGCCUUCUCAAACGCACUUACACGGGUAGUGCAAGGUGCCCUGUUGAGGCCAACAGCACCAAUCCGCAACCUGAUAACGGAUCACAUGGUUGUGUCAAUCAUUCUAAUCCACCAAUCAAAAAAAAUUGCAUCUGAAACUACAGUAACCGAUAUAUAAAUCCAAAGAUUUUAGACUCACAGUACCAGCUUUGCAGUUUACAUGUCCACUAGCAAGGUUAUUACUUUUACUCUUCCAGAAAGCACCAACAUUUAACAUCGGAUUCACAUCAUAAGUAAUUAACAUGAAUGUACUACAAACUUCAAAAGGAAAAUAUGAGACUUUCACAGUACAACACUACAUUGUUAUGCUCCUGUUAUCUACUAGUAGUACUGUACUGUGAUCCUCAAACUUCACAGUACAGCUCUAUCAAACAGUUUCAUUUACCUGAACAUUUUCUAAUCUCCAGACAUAUUACAGAGCACUCUAAUUUCCAUAGCGAACUUAUAAGACUAGCUCGUUUGGGUAGCACAGCUUCAGGUCUAUGGUUGGCUAAACAAAGACGGCUACUAGCACAGAUUGACAGGAAUCAAAAACACUAUCGAUGAACACAAACUUGCAUGGCAGAGAUACAAAUAAAUGAGACAAAAGGAAAAUAAUAAUGGUUCACACAAUCACUAAUUUUCAGACAUAAAAUGCAAGGUUCAGAUAAGCACCAACCAGGUGGAUGAUUUAGGACGACCAACAAACAAAUGAUCUAGCUCUACGAACAUAGUAUGGCACAGAGUACGGCACUGACAUAUUACUACACACGACCAGUAUUAGUAGUUCGCGACACAUGAUAAGUGUUCAGCAGCAAAAGCAGACACAGAUGCCCGCCAGAGCCAUUCCCACAGGCAAAGCAAGCACCUUAAGCCCUCUCGCCAUGGAUCCUCCUAGC
rnacentral:lncRNA from 1 species